rnacentral:rRNA from 1 species
UACGUAGGUGGCGAGCGUUGUCCGGAUUUACUGGGCGUAAAGGGAUCGUAGGCGGACUUUUAAGUGAGAUGUGAAAUACCCGGGCUCAACUUGGGUGCUGUAUUUCAAACUGGAAGUCUAGAGUGCAGGAGAGGAGAAUGGAAUUCCUAGUGUAGCGGUGAAAUGCGUAGAGAUUAGGAAGAACACCAGUGGCGAAGGCGAUUCUCUGGACUGUAACUGACGCUGAGGCUCGAAAGCGUGGGGAGCAAACAGGAUUAGAUACCCUGGUA